rnacentral:rRNA from 1 species
GAUGAACGCUGGCGGCGUGCCUAAUACAUGCAAGUCGAGCGAACAGACGAGGAGCUUGCUCCUCUGACGUUAGCGGCGGACGGGUGAGUAACACGUGUAUAACCCACCUAUAAGUCUGGGAUCACUUCGGGAAACCGGCGCUAAUACCGUAUAAUAUAUUGAACCGCAUUGUUCAAUAGUGAAAGACGGUUUUGCUGUCACUUAUAGAUGGAUCCGCGCCGCAUUAGCUAGUUGGUAAGUUAACGGCUUACCAAGGCGACGAUGCGUAGCCGACGUGAGAGAGUGAUCGGCCACACUGGAACUGAGACACGGUCAAGGCGCCUACGGGAGGCAGCAGUAGGGAAUCUUCCGCAAUGGGCGAAAGCCUGACGGAGCAACGCGGCGUGAGUGAUGAAGGUCUUCGGAUCGUAAAACUCUGUUAUUAGGGAAGAACAAAUGUGUAAGUAACUAUGCACGUCUUGACGGUACCUAGUCAGAAAGCCACGGCUAACUACGUG